GACGAACGCUGGCGGCGUGCUUAACACAUGCAAGUCGAACGGUGAAGCGCCUUCCUUUUUGGUGGGUGUGGAUGAGUGGCGAACGGGUGAGUAACACGUGAGUAACCUGCCCCCUUCUUCUGGAUAACCGCAUGAAAGUGUGGCUAAUACGGGAUAUUCUGGGUCUGUCGCAUGAUGGGUCUGGGAAAGAUAUUGUUUCGGUGGGGGAUGGGCUCGCGGCCUAUCAGCUUGUUGGUGGGGUGAUGGCCUACCAAGGCGGUGACGGGUAGCCGGCCUGAGAGGGUGGACGGGCACACUGGGACUGAGACACGGCCCAGACUCCGACGGGAGGCAGCAGUGGGGAAUAGUGCACAAUGGGCGCAAGCCUGAUGCAGCGACGCCGCGUGAGGGAUGGAGGCCUGCGGGUUGUGAACCUCUUUCGCCAGUGAAGCAGGCCUGCCUCGUUUGUGGGUGGGUUGACGGUAGCUGGAGAAGAAGCGCCGGCUAACUACGUG
rnacentral:rRNA from 1 species